GUAAUCGCGCAUCCACGGAGACGUACAGCGCCCCAGCUCUGUUAGCCCCAUCAGAGUCUAAUGCCACCAGUACCACCAACUUCCCCAACAUUCCUGUGGCUUCCACAAGUCAGCCGGCCAGCAUUCUGGCAGGCAGCCAUAGUGAAGGACUGUUGCAGAUAGCUUCAGGGCCUCAGCCAGGACAGCAGCAGAAUGGAUUCACUGCUCAGCCAGCUACUUACCACCAUAACAGCACUACCACCUGGACUGGAAGUAGGACUGCACCAUACACACCUAAUUUGCCUCACCACCAAAACGGCCAUCUUCAGCACCACCCGCCUAUGCCGCCCCAUCCUGGACAUUACUGGCCGGUUCACAAUGAGCUUGCAUUCCAGCCUCCCAUUUCCAAUCAUCCUGCUCCUGAAUAUUGGUGUUCCAUUGCUUACUUUGAAAUGGAUGUUCAGGUAGGAGAGACAUUUAAAGUCCCUUCAAGCUGUCCUAUUGUAACUGUGGAUGGAUACGUGGAUCCUUCUGGAGGAGAUCGCUUUUGCUUGGGUCAACUCUCCAAUGUCCACAGGACAGAAGCUAUUGAGAGAGCAAGGUAUGGUAAAAAUUGAAUAGUACAUUAACUUUUAUUCAAGACUAUUGUUUUUCUAUGAAUAGGAGUCUUAAAUAUAGAGUUAAGGUCGUUUUCAAUACUUAGAACUUGUGAGCUUCCAUUUUA
rnacentral:lncRNA from 1 species